rnacentral:rRNA from 1 species
AGAGUUUGAUCCUGGCUCAGGACGAACGCUGGCGGCGUGCUUAACACAUGCAAGUCGAGCGGAAAGGCCCUUUCGGGGUACUCGAGCGGCGAACGGGUGAGUAACACGUGAGCAACCUGCCCUAGGCUUUGGGAUAACCCUCGGAAACGGGGGCUAAUACCGGAUAUUCACUUGCGGACGCAUGUUUGUGGGUGGAAAGUUUUUCGGCUUGGGAUGGGCUCGCGGCCUAUCAGCUUGUUGGUGGGGUGAUGGCCUACCAAGGCGACGACGGGUAGCCGGCCUGAGAGGGCGACCGGCCACACUGGGACUGAGACACGGCCCAGACUCCUACGGGAGGCAGCAGUGGGGAAUAUUGCACAAUGGGCGGAAGCCUGAUGCAGCGACGCCGCGUGAGGGAUGACGGCCUUCGGGUUGUAAACCUCUUUCAGCAGGGACGAAGCGUGAGUGACGGUACCUGCAGAAGAAGCGCCGGCCAACUACGUGCCAGCAGCCGCGGUAAGACGUAGGGCGCGAGCGUUGUCCGGAUUUAUUGGGCGUAAAGAGCUCGUAGGCGGCUUGUCGCGUCGACUGUGAAAACCCGUGGCUCAACUGCGGGCCUGCAGUCGAUACGGGCAGGCUAGAGUUCGGUAGGGGAGACUGGAAUUCCUGGUGUAGCGGUGAAAUGCGCAGAUAUCAGGAGGAACACCGGUGGCGAAGACGGGUCUCUGGGCCGAUACUGACGCUGAGGAGCGAAAGCGUGGGGAGCGAACAGGAUUAGAUACCCUGGUAGUCCACGCUGUAAACGUUGGGCGCUAGGUGUGGGGGGCCUCUCCGGUUCUCUGUGCCGCAGCUAACGCAUUAAGCGCCCCGCCUGGGGAGUACGGCCGCAAGGCUAAAACUCAAAGGAAUUGACGG